UACGUAGGGUGCAAGCGUUGUCCGGAAUUAUUGGGCGUAAAGAGCUCGUAGGCGGCUCGUCACGUCGGCUGUGAAAACCCGGGGCUCAACCCCGGGCCUGCAGUCGAUACGGGCGAGCUAGAGUUCGGCAGGGGAGACUGGAAUUCCUGGUGUAGCGGUGAAAUGCGCAGAUAUCAGGAAGAACACCCGUGGCGAAGGCGGCUCUCUGGUACGUGACUGACGCUGAGACGCGAAAGCGUGGGGAGCAAACAGG
rnacentral:rRNA from 1 species